rnacentral:lncRNA from 1 species
AUAUUAAAAGGGGCAUGAGAUCCCAAAGGUGAGGCAAACAGGGCUCAUUUUGACAAGUUACAGUUCAUAAAUAAGUGUUCCACAGUUUCCACAUCAGAAUGACAUAACGGGCAUAAAGGAUCCAAGGAUAUACCUUUCUUUUGUAGAUCGUGCCUGGUUGGGAGGAUGUUCUUUGCCAAACGCCACAUGAAGUUUUUCACUUUAUUAGGAAUGAUUGCCUUCCAAAUUUCUUUCCAGAGUCUCUCGUUUCUGUGGUAGGAUGGUCCCGGCUGGAGGUUUUCUCUUUUUUUGCUCAAUAAGUGGUAAGCCGACCGUACUGAAUAGCAGCCAUCUUUCUCCCAAUGCCAGCAAAUUUUAUCUCUAGGAAGGGAAUGUGAUAUAGGGAUACUUACAAUUUUUAGAGCCUCCUGCUGAUUGAAAACAUUAUAGAUUAGGCUUCUAUUCCAUUGUCUCGUAGUUGUAUCCACAAGUUCUUCAACCAAGGCUUCCUCUCCUAGAAUACAAGAGUCCCCCCUUGAAGUUAUCAGUUCCAGACUCGGCAUCCAGACAUCCUUCUAUCAGUUCCAGACUCGGCAUCCAGACAUCCUUCCAGAUUCUAAUACUUUUUCCAUCUCCAACAAUCCAUCUCCCACCUUCCUUAACCACCUCCCUUGCACUGAUGAUGCUGCGCCACCCGUAGCUAGGUUGAUAACCGGCUUUUGCCUCCAGAAAGGUGACUCUAGGAUAGUAUCUGCUCUUUAACACUUUCCCAAGAAGUGAGUCAUCUCCGUUUGAGAGUCUCCAGCAAUGCUUCCCUAGUAAGGCUUUGUUGAAAUCAGAGAAGCCACGAAAGCCUAGGCCUCCUCUUUCCUUGGCUUUUGAGAGUUUAGCCCAACUCAUCCAGUGUAUCUUCCUUUCCUCUUCCUUGGACCCCCACCAAAAUUUUGCUAGCAUGGAAUCAAUGUCUUUGCAGCACCCCUCUGGCAGCUUGUAGCAACUGAGAAUAUAGUUUGGGAUUGCUUGGGCAACUGCUUUUAUGAGAGUUUCCUUCCCUGCUCUUGAUAAGAACCUUUCCUUCCAU